rnacentral:rRNA from 1 species
GACGAACGCUGGCGGCGUGCUUAACACAUGCAAGUCGAACGGAAAGGCCCUGCUUGCAGGGUACUCGAGUGGCGAACGGGUGAGUAACACGUGGGUGAUCUGCCCUGCACUCUGGGAUAAGCCUGGGAAACUGGGUCUAAUACCGGAUAGGAGCCAUUUUUAGUGUGAUGGUUGGAAAGUUUUUUCGGUGUAGGAUGGGCUCGCGGCCUAUCUGGUUGUUGGUGGGGUAAUGGCCUACCAAGGCGGCGGCGGGGAGCCGGGCUGGGAGGGUGGACGGCCACAUUGGGGCUGGGAAAAGGCCCAGACCCCUACGGGGGGGAAGAGGGGGGAAUUUUGCACAAUGGGCGCGAGCCCGAUGCAGCGACGCCGCGGGGGGGGAGACGGGCUUCGGGUUGUAAACUCCUUUCGCGAGGGGCGGAGGUUUUUGUGACGGUACCUGGAUAAGAAGCACCGGCUAACUACGUG